rnacentral:rRNA from 1 species
AGAGUUUGAUCCUGGCUCAGAUUGAACGCUGGCGGCAGGCUUAACACAUGCAAGUCGAGCGGGGAGAUGUAGCUUGCUACAUUUCCUAGCGGCGGACGGGUGAGUAAUGCUUAGGAAUCUGCCUAUUAGUGGGGGACAACAUUCCGAAAGGAAUGCUAAUACCGCAUACGCCCUACGGGGGAAAGCAGGGGAUCUUCGGACCUUGCGCUAAUAGAUGAGCCUAAGUCAGAUUAGCUAGUUGGUGGGGUAAAGGCCUACCAAGGCGACGAUCUGUAGCGGGUCUGAGAGGAUGAUCCGCCACACUGGGACUGAGACACGGCCCAGACUCCUACGGGAGGCAGCAGUGGGGAAUAUUGGACAAUGGGCGAAAGCCUGAUCCAGCCAUGCCGCGUGUGUGAAGAAGGCCUUUUGGUUGUAAAGCACUUUAAGCGAGGAGGAGGCUACUUAGAUUAAUACUCUGGGAUAGUGGACGUUACUCGCAGAAUAAGCACCGGCUAACUCUGUGCCAGCAGCCGCGGUAAUACAGAGGGUGCGAGCGUUAAUCGGAUUUACUGGGCGUAAAGCGUGCGUAGGCGGCUUUUUAAGUCGGACGUGAAAUCCCUGAGCUUAACUUAGGAAUUGCAUUCGAUACUGGGAAGCUAGAGUAUGGGAGAGGAUGGUAGAAUUCCAGGUGUGUAGUCCAUGCCGUAAACGAUGUCCACUAGCCGUUGGGGCCUUUGAGGCUUUAGUGGCGCAGCUAACGCGAUAAGUAGACCGCCUGGGGAGUACGGUCGCAAGACUAAAACUCAAAUGAAUUGACGGGGGCCCGCACAAGCGGUGGAGCAUGUGGUUUAAUUCGAUGCAACGCGAAGAACCUUACCUGGUCUUGACAUAGUAAGAACUUUCCAGAGAUGGAUUGGUGCCUUCGGGAACUUACAUACAGGUGCUGCAUGGCUGUCGUCAGCUCGUGUCGUGAGAUGUUGGGUUAAGUCCCGCAACGAGCGCAACCCUUUUCUUUAUUUGCCAGCGGGUUAAGCCGGGAACUUUAAGGAUACUGCCAGUGACAAACUGGAGGAAGGCGGGGACGACGUCAAGUCAUCAUGGCCCUUACGACCAGGGCUACACACGUGCUACAAUGGUCGGUACAAAGGGUUGCUACCUAGCGAUAGGAUGCUAAUCUCAAAAAGCCGAUCGUAGUCCGGAUUGGAGUCUGCAACUCGACUCCAUGAAGUCGGAAUCGUUAGUAAUCGCGGAUCAGAAUGCCGCGGUGAAUACGUUCCCGGGCCUUGUACACACCGCCCGUCACACCAUGGGAAUUUGUUGCACCAGAAGUGGGUAGUCUAACCGCAAGGAGGACGCUUACCACGGUGUGGCCGAUGACUGGGGUGAAGUCGUAACAAGGUAACCAAGGGCGAAUUCCACAUU